ensembl:lncRNA
CUCUCAAUGCGUGCAUCGACCCUUUGAUUUUGUAUUUCUCCUCCUCAGCUGUGCGCAGAGCCUUUGAUAAAAGGCUGCAGAGCGGGGGCGCCUCCCUGGCAGGGUACUGGAGGAGGCGAGCCGGACAGCCAGCUGCAGAGAGAGGAAAUGGGAGCUUAGGAGAUCUUCCAGACCUAGGAAUUGAGCCCACAUCUCUUGCAUCUCCUGCAUUGGCAGAUGGAUUCUUUACCACCGAGCCACCAUGCUGCUGCUGCUGCUGCUAAGUUGCUUCAGUCGCGUCCAACUCUGUGUGACCCCAUAGCACUGGAAACCAAAAUUCAUGACUCACUUGAUUGCAACACUCGCUUUAUUGCAGUGGUCUAGAAACAAAACUGCCAUAUUGCCAAGGAGAUCCUGAUAAGGAAUACGGAACUAAUAAGCCACCAUCAACCAGAAGAGUUCGGGAAAGGUCCAAAGGAGACACCAUGUGUCCGUCCACUUCCCAGAAUCCCUCUCACUAGCAUCCAUCUUGGCUGAGCUAUGCGUGCACCACCAGGAAAGACUCUGAAUUAGAAUGAUUGGCCAAAGACCACCCGGAAACUAAUCCCAUCACCAUAAAACCUGAGACUUCGAGCCACGUGGCAGGGCAGUUCUCCUGGGUUCCCUUACCCUACUGCUCUCCACCCGGGUGCCCUUUCCCAGUAAAAUCUCUCGCUUUGUCAGCACAUGGGUCUCCUCAGACAAUUCAUUUCCGAGUGUUAGACAAGAGCCCAGUUUCGGGCCCUGGAAGGGGUCCACCUUCCUGCAACAAUACCAUAUCUCAGCCUUUCCAGUUUUCAGGUUAGUGGUGGGGAAGGUGCACUUCCACGGGAAAGGAAAUCAGUCACUUGGUUUAUGUAAACUCCUGUGAGAGCUCUGUCUCUGAACUGGGCUCAAGAUACCACGCCCACAAUUAGCACUCCACAACCUUGAAACACAUGCCGUUUUGAUGAUGAUACGUUGCUAACUACUGUCAUUUGUGUCACAUUAAACAAAUACUGUUUUGCAAAGGUAAAAUUAUAUUAAAC